UACAGAGACUGCAAGCGUUAUUCGGAUUCACUGGGCGUAAAGGGUGCGCAGGCGGCCGUGUGUGUCAGAUGUGAAAGCCUGGAGCUUAACUCCAGAAUUGCGUCUGAAACUACAUGGCUAGAGCAUUGGAGAGGGUAGCAGAAUUCAUGGUGUAGCAGUGAAAUGCGUAGAUAUCAUGAGGAAUACCAGAGGCGAAGGCGGCUACCUGGACAAUUGCUGACGCUCAGGCACGAAAGCGUGGGGAGCAAAAGGG
rnacentral:rRNA from 1 species